UGGGUGUGGAGGUCUCGCCCACGCUUCGUGGUUGCCAUAGAAACCUGACGUCACGUGGCGACCGUGACGACUUUUUAAUAGAGACAGAAGUGCCCUCCAUAGCAGAGCAGGGGCCCGCCUUCAGGUGUUUGGGGGCGUUGUUGAGGGUGUGGGUCCCCGCGGUCGGGGCUGAACCGCCCUGGGAUGGAAGGAGACAAAGGGAUUCAGAUCCAAGUUGCUUCGUUCUUGCCUUGGGAGUCGGCACGGCCGCUGUCUCGUAGCUCUUCAUGACGGUGGCCCAGCUCAUAUCAGGUGCGUGAAGAGGGCAGGUUCUGAGGAUGUGUGUCCUGAUGGCUGCUGAAGCUUCUACUCCAGGUUCAAGGUCAGCAGUUCUCAGGAGACCCCAACACUUCACACCCCUGGUGGAAAUUGAUGCCUGGCGCAAGUGCAGCUGAAAUCUCUGGAUAUUACAUGUGCAACAAAUAUAAGACUCUGAAAGGUGGAGAUGAAAAAGGCAGCCUGGCUUGGGACUUUGGGACUCGAGUAAUGACACACGGUGAAUUCCCUUGGUUGUAUCCCAGACUGGGUGCUGGAGGAGUAGGGGACCAAAAAAUGCCAACAGGAAAAGUCAAGAAAAGCCCCAAGAAAAUCCCUUUUCUGGACAAAGAACCAUUAAAGAGGAAACUUAUCAAGACGCUUUUUAGACUACGACUGCUCUAACACUACAGAAUGAAGCAGAGCUCUACCUGCAGCAUUCCAGCAAAGGCUGAGUGGGGAGUGUGGAUUCUACACUCACUUGAUUGGAAUAAGGCACCCAUCCUCACCCUCUGAAGGAUUAUGAGAGAAGACUGCAUGUGGAACAAUGACUUUAAUCCCAACCUGGGGGAAAUGAGCACCUCUCCUCAUGGUGUCAGUGGAGACCAUUCAGGGAGCCUGCCUUCCACCCAUAUUAAGUGAUGCUGAGGCACCUUGCCUUCUUUGGGCUGAUGUCAGGAAGCUGAAUAGCACGAUGGAAGUUUCAUGGGCAUCCAGUGAUGAGGAUGCCUCCUCCCUUCCACAGUGUCAAGGGAGACCACAUGGAGGGCAGUAAGGAAGUGUCUUCCUCACCUGCCAGGGUGGUGUCAGUGGAGGCCUGGUGGGAAAUGAAAUCCUGCUUCUACCAAGCAGUAAAGAGGCACCCCUUCCCUUCCCUUCCAUUCCCAUGCCCACCCCACCUUCCCCAUGUCAGUGGAGGCUGAGUGGGGAACCUGGACUUCUUUGCCAUCUGUCUCUACUUAGGAACACAUGCUUAGAGUUGCAAGCAUCCAGGAAGUGAUAGUGAUACCUCAUAGCAAUUUUGUGGUGAAGACUAAAUCCAGCCAACAACAUGAAGAACUUAUCCAUAGGCCCUACUUAACUAAAUGUUAUGUUAAUAUUAGCUGUUUAUGCCCUCAGAUCAGAUAACUUAUAUAGCUCCUUUAUCUGCCCCCUUUGGAUAGGGUCUGACACAGUUCAGCAUCACCUUGGAAUCCUUUUCUAAACCCUCACCUGAAACUCUCUUGGGGAAAAUGGGACUUCUGUAUCAAAGGCCAUUCAUGUUACUCAGCUGCAAUAAUACAGGCCUUCGAAAACAGAUUUUCCCGUUUGACAUAAUAACGUAUGCAAGAGUCUAUUUUCCCUUCAUUCCUCCAACCCCAGGUAUUACCAUCUUAUGUUUUUAUUGCUAAUAUGGUUGCUCAUUUCCCCAGACUUGCCCCAUUGGAAGGGUGAUUGCAGGCAGCUAGUGGUGGUGGUCUGAUGAGUCAAGGUGUUUUGCUUUUGAUGAUAGGGAACAUAGUAUUGUAUUGGGCACACAGUUACUCCAGUAAAACGCACUGAUUGCUGGAUCUGUCUCUGUUCGGCUCCUCAUGGCAGUGGCCGAGUUCAUAUCAGGUGCCCGAAGGAAACAGGUUAUGGUGAUCUCUGUCCUGAUGGCUCGUGAAGCUUCUACUCCAGAUUCAAGGACAGCAGUCCUCAGGAGAGCCCAUCACUUCACAUCCCUGGUGGGAUACGAUGCCUGGCUCAAGUGAGUGCAUAGAUCUGAACAAAAACAUGUUGUGAAAUAACUCUUGUGAGGUUCACAAACUAGCCUAAAAGUAAAGAAGUUGCUUUAAUCUCACCAUGGGAGAAGAGGUUUAGCAGGUGGAAUUUUAUUUCAUCAGCAGUUACACACUGUGUAGUAGCCCUUGAGGCACAUCCUAGAGAUGCUUUUUUUCCCCCUGAGAAGCAAUGGGUCGUCAAGUUUAAGAAAGAACUUAUUUGGUCUUUACCAUACAUUUGCAAUAAAUAUACCUAAGUUGUUCUCACCAUAUAAAUAAUAAUCAGCAAUUCUCAAGUCUCUCCUAUGGGUGUGGAAAUGUGCAGUCAUUAGAUCUUCCUAGCAAUUUGACAUUGUAACAUAGAUUCUUCCCUGGUGCCCAUGGUUAUUUUUUUUCCAUUAUAUAAUGUGUAUAUAUAAGUUUUUUAAAGAUCUAGAAAAUUUCCAAGUGUUAAAGAUAUCAGUGACUAGAAGUUAAUAUUAAAAAAAAAUAAUUAUUACCCUAGAGUUUGCCCUCUUAUAAUGUACUGAGCCACAUUCCCUAAAAUAACCAGUUAGUCUUAAAUAUCAUUAAGAUUUGUUUCCUAGAAUAGAAUUUUUUUAUUUAUGUAUUUUAGAAGGAAAUGGACAUCAUCUUUCCCUAAAUAUUUGGAUACAUUUCAUUGGAAAUUAUUAUUUCUAUUUUGGUUGAAUGUAGCAUGGACCAAUUUGAUAAGACAUAGUAUGGGUCCGUUAAUGCUACAAGAACACAAUUAUGGGAAUCUUUCGCCUGAUUUAAUUGCAUUGGAUAAUUAUGAAUAUAUAAAUAUAUGUAACAUACUUUAUUGAGAUGUGGUUGACAUACAAUACACUGCAUAUUUAAAGUAUAUGUUUUAAUAACUUUGGAUAUAUGUAUGCACCUGUGAUCCAAUACUACAGUCAAGGUAAUGAACAUAUUCAUCAUCUUAAAUACAGAGAACAAACUGAGGGUGGACGGGGGGUGGAGUGGGGGAGAGGGAAAAUGGGUGAUGGACACUGAGGAGGGUACUUGUGGGGAUGAACACUGGGUGUUGUAUGUAAGCCAAUUUGACAAUAAAUUAUAUUAAAAUAAAUAAAUAAAUAAAAAGUAUGGUUUAUAUAAAAUUUAAGAUAAAUAUAAGAGAAUAUAAUACACAUAAAAAAGGAAUAGCUAUCUUGAAUCCUUCCUAAAUAAGGCAGUUAUAUUUUACAUGAAAAUAUCUAUUCUAGUGAAAGAGAUUUUAAAAUGUAUUUGGUAAUGCAUUUCCAUCACAACUAAUUAAUAAACAAAGUCUCUUCUGCUUUAUUAAAACCUAAAAAAAAAAAAAAAACCUUUUUUGUGCCCCUUGGUAAUGCUCCCAUCUGCCUCUCUCCAGCCUCUUUCUCUUCAUAUCACCCUAUUCCAUUCCCAGGCAACUACUGAUCUUCUGCCAGUGUGGAUUGGUUUUCUUUUCUUAUAAUUCUAUGUGAAUUGAAUAUACAAUGUGUAUUUUUGUGUCUUGUUUCCUGCAACCUAAUUAGUUCUAGAUUUAUCCUCUUGUUGCAUGUAUGAAUAGUUCUUCUUUUAUGAUUGACUAAUAUUUCAUUAUAUGGAUAUACCACAAUUUGUUCUAUCAAUUUACCUGGUCAUGGAUAUUUGGGUUCUUUCCAAUUUGGGGCUCUUAUAAAUAAAGCUGCUAUGAAUAUUUGUGCAUGAGUCUUUGCUUGGACAUAUGUUUUCUUUCUGUAGGGCAAAUACUUAGGAGUGCAAUGGCUGGACCAUAUAAUAGUUGUAAGACUGACAUUUUAAGAUACUGCUAAACUGUUUUCCAAGGUGUUGGCAUCAUUUUUCAUUGCCACUAGCAAUGUAUGAGAGUUCCAUGCUCUGAGGCAUGCUCUACAACCCUGCCAGGUCUUGUUAUGGUCAAUCUUUUUUAAUGUUGGCUAUUCUCAGAGGGUUAUAGUGGUAUCUUGUAUUUUAAUUUACAUAUCCCUAAAGAUUUUGAAUAUUUGAGGAAAGGUGUUUAGCUUCUUUUCAUGUGCUUAUUUGACAUUUAUAUAUAUAUUUUAAUGGAGUAUCUAUUCAAAUUUUUCCCCAUUUAUUAGAGUAUCUGUUUUCUUCUUAUUGACCUUUGAGAUUUUCUGUAUUCUAGAUACAAGUCCUUUAACAGAGUUCUGAUUUACAAAUAUAUUCUCCUAGUUGGUGGCUUGUCUUUUAAUUAUCUCAACAAUGUCUGGAAGAGCAGGACUUUUUAACUCUGAGGAAGUCCAGUUUAUUGAUUUGUUCACUUAUCAGUUGUAGUUUUGAUUUUGCAUCUAUGAAAUCUCCACCUAACCCAAGGUCACAAGGAUUUUCUCCUGUGUUUUCUUUUAGAAGUUUUAGAUUUUUCAUUUAGGUCUAUGAUCCAUUUGGAGUUGACUUUUGUAUAUGGUAUGAUCACAGUUGAUGUUUGUGCAUAUGGAGACUCACUUGUCUCAGCACUAUUUGUUGAAAAGACUAUCCUUUCUUCACCAAAUUGCCUUUGCAAUCAGUUGUUCAUAUAAGUGUGAUUAUUUCUGGUCUUUUUAUUCUGUUCCUUUGAUCUGCUGUGUACCUUGAUGCCAAUACCAAACUGUUUUGAUUACUUAAGGUUUAUCAUAACUCUUGAAAUCAGGUACUUUUGAUCCUCGAACUUUGUUCUUUUUAAAAAAAAUGUAUUUGAGUAGUUGAGACACAAUGUUACAUUAGUUUAAGGUGUACAACACAGUGAUUUGAGAAGUUUAUACAUUAUACUAUGCUCAUCAUAAGUGUAGCUAGCAUCUGUCACCAUACAACACCAUUACAAAGCCAUUGACUCAAUUUCCUAUGCUGUGCCUUUUAUUCCCAUGACUUAUUCACUCCAUAACUAGAAGCCUCUAUUUCCCACUCGCCUUCACUCAUUUUGCCCAGCCCCCAGCUCCCUCUCCUCUGGCAACCAUCAGUUUGUCCUUUGUAUUUAUAGGUCUGUCUCUGCUUUUUGUUUAUUCAUUUGGUUUUUUAGAUUCCACAUAUGAGUGAGAUCAUAUGAUAUUUGUUUUUCUCGGUCUGAUUUAUUUCACUUAGCAUAAUACCCUCUGGGCCCAUCUAUGUUGUUGCAAAUAGCAUAAUUAACUUUGUUCUUUUUCAAAGUUGUUUUUCAUAGUCUAAGUCCUUUCUAUUUUAACAUGAAUUUUAUAAUUAGCCAUCCAGUUUCUUUUUUUAAGUUUAUUUGUUUAUUUUGAGAGAGAGAGAGCAGGGUAGGGUCAGACAGAGAGGGAGAGAGAGAAUCCCAAGCAGGCUCUGCACAGAGCCUGACAUAGGGCUUGAAUUCAAGAACUGUGAGAUUGUGACCUGAGCCAAAACCAAGUCUCAGACAUUUAAUCGACUGAGCCACCCAGGCACUCCAGUUUCUAAAAAAAAAAAACCCAAAAUGUAAACUAGGAUUUUUAUUAGGAUUGCACUGAAUCUAUAGAUCAGUUUUAGGAGAACAGAUAUCUUAAUACUAGUGUUCUGACACAUGAAGAUGGUAUGUCCCUUCAUUUAGUUAGAUCUUUAACUUCUGUCAGCAGUGUUUUGUAGUGUACAGUGCACAUACAUUGUACACAUGGGUAAAUAUUUUAUACUUUUUGGUGCUAUAAUGAAUGACAGUAUUUUUAAAUUGCAAUUUUCACAUAUAUUUUCACUAAACAGCAGCCAAAAUGUCAAAAAAAAAAGCCAUCAAAGAGUCUUUUGGUUGAAAGCUCAGGCUACUUACUGUACAAUGGAAAAGGUACUUGAUUUAAACAUUCAUUCAUUUAUAUUUCUAUAUCAGAUUUUAGAGGUUAUUGGCAAUAUGUUGCCUAGGGAGAAGAGUGUCCCAGAGAUAAAUCUAUAGCUCAUUUCCAAAAAAAAUCCAUCACUAAAAAUAGUUUAGU